UACGUAGGUGGCAAGCGUUGUCCGGAUUUACUGGGCGUAAAGAGCGCGCAGGCGGUCGUUCAAGUCGCGUGUGAAAGCCCCCGGCUCAACUGGGGAGGGUCACGCGAUACUGAUCGACUCGAAGGCAGGAGAGGGAAGUGGAAUUCCCGGUGUAGUGGUGAAAUGCGUAGAGAUCGGGAGGAACACCAGUGGCGAAGGCGGCUCGCUGGGCCGGCCCUGACGCUGAGACGCGAAGGCGUGGGGAGCGAACGGG
rnacentral:rRNA from 1 species